rnacentral:rRNA from 1 species
AUUGAACGCUGGCGGCAGGCCUAACACAUGCAAGUCGAACGGUAACAGGAAACAGCUUGCUGUUUCGCUGACGAGUGGCGGACGGGUGAGGAAUGUCUGGGAAACUGCCUGAUGGAGGGGGAUAACUACUGGAAACGGUAGCUAAUACCGCAUAACGUCGCAAGACCAAAGAGGGGGACCCUCGGGCCUCUUGCCAUCGGAUGUGCCCAGAUGGGAUUAGCUUGUUGGUGGGGUAACGGCUCACCAAGGCGACGAUCCCUAGCUGGUCUGAGAGGAUGACCAGCCACACUGGAACUGAGACACGGUCCAGACUCCUACGGGAGGCAGCAGUGGGGAAUAUUGCACAAUGGGCGCAAGCCUGAUGCAGCCAUGCCGCGUGUAUGAAGAAGGCCUUCGGGUUGUAAAGUACUUUCAGCGGGGAGGAAGGGAGUAAAGUUAAUACCUUUGCUCAUUGACGUUACCCGCAGAAGAAGCACCGGCUAACUCCAUG